UUUGAGACAGGACCAUCAUGUUUAUUGACAGAGAAGACACUGGAGGUUCAUCACCGUGAGGCAGUUGGCUACUGGUCUUCAUUGGGAAAAAGCAAAGCGGAAGCGUGACACACUUUCACAAGGGAGACAAGAUUUUCUCUGAGGCUUAAUACCGUAUCACUAUUUUCAAUCAUAUCUUGACAAGUGCUGGGAAGGAGGGCAGCUCAUGGACAGAAAAAUGCUUCAACUUAUAUCUGCUUCUAAAUGGAAGGUAAA
rnacentral:lncRNA from 1 species